rnacentral:rRNA from 1 species
UACGUAGGGUGCGAGCGUUGUCCGGAAUUAUUGGGCGUAAAGAGCUCGUAGGCGGUUUGUCGCGUCGGCCGUGAAAACUUGGGGCUUAACCCCAAGCCUGCGGUCGAUACGGGCAGACUUGAGUUCGGGCAGGGGAGACUGGAAUUCCUGGUGUAGCGGUGAAAUGCGCAGAUAUCAGGAAGAACACCCGUGGCGAAGGCGGCUCUCUGGGACGUGACUGACGCUGAGACGCGAAAGCGUGGGGAGCGAACAGG